UGAACGCUGGCGGCGUGCCUAAUACAUGCAAGUCGAGCGAACAGACAAGGAGCUUGCUCCUUUGACGUUAGCGGCGGACGGGUGAGUAACACGUGGGUAACCUACCUAUAAGACUGGGAUAACUUCGGGAAACCGGAGCUAAUACCGGAUAAUAUUUCGAACCGCAUGGUUCGAUAGUGAAAGAUGGUUUUGCUAUCACUUAUAGAUGGACCCGCGCCGUAUUAGCUAGUUGGUAAGGUAACGGCUUACCAAGGCGACGAUACGUAGCCGACCUGAGAGGGUGAUCGGCCACACUGGAACUGAGACACGGUCCAGACUCCUACGGGAGGCAGCAGUAGGGAAUCUUCCGCAAUGGGCGAAAGCCUGACGGAGCAACGCCGCGUGAGUGAUGAAGGUCUUCGGAUCGUAAAACUCUGUUAUUAGGGAAGAACAUACGUGUAAGUAACUAUGCACGUCUUGACGGUACCUAAUCAGAAAGCCACGGCUAACUACGUGCCAGCAGCCGCGGUAAUACGUAGGUGGCAAGCGUUAUCCGGAAUUAUUGGGCGUAAAGCGCGCGUAGGCGGUUUUUUAAGUCUGAUGUGAAAGCCCACGGCUCAACCGUGGAGGGUCAUUGGAAACUGGAAAACUUGAGUGCAGAAGAGGAAAGUGGAAUUCCAUGUGUAGCGGUGAAAUGCGCAGAGAUAUGGAGGAACACCAGUGGCGAAGGCGACUUUCUGGUCUGUAACUGACGCUGAUGUGCGAAAGCGUGGGGAUCAAACAGGAUUAGAUACCCUGGUAGUCCACGCCGUAAACGAUGAGUGCUAAGUGUUAGGGGGUUU
rnacentral:rRNA from 15 species